rnacentral:piRNA from 2 species
CACCAUUUAACCUGUAAGCCACAGGUGGAAAA